GUGGGGAAUAUUGGACAAUGGGGGGAACCCUGAUCCAGCCAUGCCGCGUGUGUGAAGAAGGCCUUUUGGUUGUAAAGCACUUUAAGCGAGGAGGAGGCUACCGAGAUUAAUACUCUUGGAUAGUGGACGUUACUCGCAGAAUAAGCACCGGCUAACUCUGUGCCAGCAGCCGCGGUAAUACAGAGGGUGCAAGCGUUAAUCGGAUUUACUGGGCGUAAAGCGCGCGUAGGUGGCCAAUUAAGUCAAAUGUGAAAUCCCCGAGCUUAACUUGGGAGUUGCAUUCGAUACUGGUUGGCUAGAGUAUGGGAGAGGAUGGUAGAAUUCCAGGUGUAGCGGUGAAAUGCGUAGAGAUCUGGAGGAAUACCGAUGGCGAAGGCAGCCAUCUGGCCUAAUACUGACACUGAGGUGCGAAAGCAUGGGGAGCAAACAGGAUUAGAUACCCCAGUAGUCC
rnacentral:rRNA from 1 species